CACGCUGUAAACGAUGGAUGCUAGCAGUGUGUCGUAUCGACCCGGUGCGCUGCGAAGCUAACGCAUUAAGCAUCCCGCCUGAGUAGUACGAUCGCAAGAUUAAAACUCAAAGGAAUUGACGGGGACCCGCACAAGCGGUGGAGCGUGUUGUUUAAUCGGAUGGUAAGCCUAGAACCUUACCAGGGUUUGACAUCCUUGGAAUUUCGCCGAAAGGUGAGAGUGCUUUAUUGAGCCAAGUGACAGGUGAUGCAUGGCCGUCGUCAGCUCGUGUCGUGAGAUGUUUGGUUAAGUCCAUCAACGAGCGCAACCCUUAUGGUUAGUUGGAUUUUUCUAGCCAGACUGCCUCGGUAACGGGGAGGAAGGAGGGGAUGAUGUCAGGUCGUUAUUUCCCUUACACCCUGGGCUACAAACGCGCUACAAUGGCCGGUACAAUGGGCAGCCAAGCUGUGAAGCGGAGCAAAUCCCAUCAAAGCCGGUCCCAGUUCGGAUAAGAGGCUGAAACUCGCCUCUUUGAAGUCGGAAUCGCUAGUAAUCGCAGGUCAGCACACUGCGGUGAAUACGUUCCCGGGUCUUGUACACACCNGCCCGUCAAGCCAUGAAAGUCACCAACACCCGAAGUCUGAAUUUAUUUCGGCCUAAGGUGGGGGGGAUAAUUGGGGUU
rnacentral:rRNA from 1 species